rnacentral:misc_RNA from 1 species
AGUGCGAGGAGUUGGACAUACUGGACAAAAACGAGCGCGUUGACCACGCCGUUGUAGUGAGCAAAUCGCCGAAGUUACCUUCGCUACACGAGAAAUUUCCACUUGGAAAGUGCGCACGUGUAUGUGUUGGUGUGUGUGGAUAUUAUUCGACGCAGAAAGUUUAAGGGAUCCUUCAAGUUCCGAAGGCAAUGCACGUUGACAAGAUAAAGAAGCAUGAAAAGCUGACCUGAAAUAUCUGUAAUAAACUCGCAAAGUUUUCCUGUAACGUUUCAAAGUAAUGCAAUCGCAAAAGGAAUGUUACCGAGAAUCAUGAAGAAUUGCUGGAAAUCGAACUCUUCGUCUUCCUUUUACAAGAAUAAGUAUUUCUACUAAUAUCGAUUCGCGGUAAAACGAGGCGCGAUUCGAGUCGGUUUUGUAGCCCGUUCACCUGCUUGCUCGUUCGCUUACCAUCAGUGUAUCGAUAGUGUGUAAUAGGCCAAGAUUGUAAUAAAUUAACGGCGAAUUAAUAUUGGCCGAUUGACCCGCGCUGGCGCGACCUUUCGCCCGUCGCCUACCGUGCGCGAGCGCCGGCUGAUCUUCCCUCGCCGCAUCGUGCGAACCUCAGCGUCGCGUGGACCAACCGGGUUAAUUAGUUCAAAGUGCCUUCCAUCUGUGCGACACGACGACGACGACGACGGCGGCGGUAUUCGGCGAUCGUUCUGCCGCGAUCUGAGCCACGUGACCAUUCAUGAUCACGCGUUGUCUCCUCGAUAAGAUCGUCUAACUUGCCGCGCUUCCGGUUAAAUUGCAAAGUAUAAUAUUUGAGGUUGAAAACACGCGUUUGCAGCAAUAAAGCCUAAUCU